rnacentral:rRNA from 1 species
ACUCAAAUGAAUUGACGGGGACUUGCACAAGCAGUGGAUUAUGUGGUUUAAUUCGAUGAUAAACGAAAAACCUUACCAAGGUUUGAAACCUAACUGAAGACACGCAGAAACGUGUGUCGUCUCACAAGGACAGUUAGGCAGGUGAUGCAUGGCCGUCGUCAGUUCGUAGUUUGAACCGUUCCCUUAAGUGGGGUAACGAACGCAACCCUCGUUGUCUGUUAUACGUAUCAGGCGAGACUGCCCAGCUUUCUGAGUUUGAAUUUGAAAAAAUUUGAAAAUAGAAAGCUGGGAGGAAGGCGAGGAUGACGCCAGGUCAGCAUGUCCCUUUGAUACCUUGGGCUACACACAUAAUACAAUGGCGGUUACAACGGGUCGCGACGUCGAAAGGCUGAGCCAAUCCUAAUAAAAACCGCCCCAGUUCAGAUUGGGGGCUGAAACUCGACCCCAUGAAGUUGGAAUUGCUAGUAAUCGCGGGUCAGCUAUACCGCGGUGAAUACGUUCUCAAGUCUUGUACACACCGCCCGU